GUCUAAGGCCAUACCACCCAGAAUGCGCCCAAUCUCAUCUGAUCUUGGAAGCUAAGCAGGGUGGGGGCUGGUUAGUACUUGGAUGGGAGAGAGGGUGUGCCAGGGACUCUAGCCA
rnacentral:rRNA from 1 species